UUCUGCAAGCAUGAGUUCCUCUGGACCUUGUGACAUGAGGGAAAAGGGCUGAUGUUGGUUAUUUUUUCAUAGAAAGCAUUCAACACCUUCACACAAAUAGCUUGGCUGAAUCCCCUACGUUUUCCUAGGUGAAGACAACCUGUACCUUUACAGCUGUUACCAAUAAGGGCACCUGGCUACAUUGCUUCAAAAGAAGACUGCGUCUGAUUAUAAUUCAUAUCUGUCAUUGAAAAGAAAAUGUGUACUGGAUCACAACUUCAUUUGUUGCAGAAAAGGUAUAUCACAGCCUAUGAAAGUCAAGAAUGGUGCUUACUGGACCAGGAAUUGUGUGGAAAAUACCCCAGUGUGUUGACUGAAUUGAAGCCCUUACAGAAUUUUGACACUUGAAGAAUACAAAUUAGGGCUAUACUGGCAAAUUUACUUCUGGAUUGUCCUCACUUCUGAGUGCUAGGUUUCUUUUGAUAAUAUUAUUUUAUCAUAUAUUUGUAGGGUUUAUUAAGCCUGUCUUUGUAUAGAUAUUACUCAAAUACAAAUUGAAGAGUGACUGUCCAGUGUUUUUUACUGUAUUAGUGUAUGGAACUAAGUCUUCAGCCCAAAAGUUAAAACAGCAAUAUACUUUCAUCAUAUUAAGUAUAAACCAGGAUAGAAUAUUCUUGUCACAUGUAACACAAGCCUACCUGUUAUAUUUAAUAGAUCUUGUAAUAAAUUGCCAUUUAAUCCAUAAAAAGCCUUUUACAAUAAAGGACAAGCUUUAA